CCUUACAUCCGGGGCGACACACGUGUUACAAUGGUAAGGACAAAGGGCAGCUACCUGGCGACAGGAUGCGAAUCUCUAAACCUUAUCACAGUUCGGAUCGGAGUCUGCAACUCGACUCCGUGAAGCUGGAUUCGCUAGUAAUCGCGCAUCAGCCAUGGCGCGGUGAAUACGUUCCCGGGCCUUGUACACACCGCCCGUCAAGCCAUGAAAGCCGGGGGUGCCUGAAGUUCGUAACCGUAAGGAGCGCCCUAGGGCAAAACUGGUAAUUGGGGCUAAGUCGUAACAAGGUAGCCGUACCGGAAGGUGCGGCUGGAACACCUCCUUUCUGGAG
rnacentral:rRNA from 1 species